CAGCAUACAAGCAGCAGAAUCCACUGUGUCACUCCCAGAAGAGCAUUCUCCAUGGACUUCUGUGAUGUACUACUGACAAUCAAGCAAGUCCAUAGGAAGUUCCAAGAGUAAGAUGUCAGACAAUAUUCACAGCUUCUCUGCACAUCCACCAGCAAGUCUCCUGGAGAAAGUGGGGGGUGUUCCAUGCCACCACCAGCUGUCGCGUCUCCCAGUCACAUCAGGUAUCUGAGGAGUGGCUACUCAAAGAAUACUGAAACACCUUGGGAUAAUGGAAUCCCUGAGUCAAGAUCCACUGGCAUCAUCUUUUAUUCCUUGCAUGUUACAAGAAUCACCUCCACCCCCAAGAGUGCCCUUGUGUUCUCUGAAGGUGUUUUCAUGAAGACCAAGGAAUACAGAUAAGGAGGGAAGUGCUGGUAUUUUGCACCAGAGACCAGGCUGGAUCCAGCUGGAAGUCAGUGUUUUAGGGUUGGUGGGAUAGACUGGGGAACACAAUUCCAACUUUUCUUCU